UGAAGCUAAAUUAGACACCGAAACUACGUUUAAUGACGAGACAAAGCUAUAAAUAUAUAUUAUAAUCUUUUAGCACAUUAGAUUUACUAUUUCCGCAGUAUAAUUCAGCUAGCUCGUAAAGGUGUUUGAUUGGUCCGUCUUGAAUACCGAUUUCAGACAUCCAUCCGCAGCCCUGACACACACAUUGUGCGUUUUAAAAACUAUAUGCGUGACAUUUUUCAACAUGUUUCUUGUCCCCUACUCGUCAAAGAGGAAACAUUUGCUGGACAUUGGAGACUGGAAAUCACCUGAGCUGAGGCUGUAAUGUUUCGUAUCGUUAAUGACUUUGCUCUCUGAGCAGAAACACGUGCGGCAGAUGAUGACGAUUGACGACCAUAACUGAGGGAAAAAGGAGGACCUGGCUUGUAAGAGACGGAGUGACUCUAACCUACACUUGCAAUCUCGUCUCAUUUGGACUCCAGGUUUGCAGGUUCAAUCCCAGGUGUCUGUUGGGUCACAUACUGGUAUUUCUCGGAUUGUCAACCCAUUGGACAUGCUGCUGCCGUUAACGUGUUGGUAUUGGAAACU